UCUCCGUAGGUGAACCUGCGGAGGGAUCAUUACCGAGUGAGGGCUCACGCCCGACCUCCAACCCUUUGUGAACACAUCUUGUUGCUUCGGGGGCGACCCUGCCGCUUCGGCGGUGCGGCGCCCCCGGAGGCCAUUAAACACUGCAUCUCUUGCGUCGGAGUCUUAAAGAAAUUUAAACAAAACUUUCAACAACGGAUCUCUUGGUUCUGGCAUCGAUGAAGAACGCAGC
rnacentral:misc_RNA from 1 species